AGAUGAUGUCAUGCCUGGGCCAAGUGAUACUGUUUACUCACAGAUUCAGGAGAAAAGCAAGAAGCCCAAAGUCAAAGGUGCCUCUAAAUACUCAGAAGCUGAACCCAGUGAUGUGACUUAUGCUGAAAUUGAUCUGAAAGACAAGAAGCCAAAGAAAAAACAGGGUAAAGGGAAGAGCAGUGAGGACGCUGAUACUGUCUACUCAGAACUGAAGUAGAACUGAAGACAAAGGUCCAUAAAAAAGCUUCUAUGCCUAAAACCUUCACUCAGGAAUUACUGAAACAGUGUUAUGGCUGCCCACUGAUGUCUGAGUUUACUAGCAGUGAGAAUGGUAAAUGUGUUUAUUAGAGAGAGCACUGCUGUUGUUGGAAAGCCUUUGUUUUCUGCGAUUCCCAAAACUAAUCAUUUUAGUGAUUCCUGAUUGAAGCUUGAAGAUUGUAGACAGAAGAGGGAAGAAUGUGAACAUAAUUAGACUGCUCAAAUUAAUCUUAAUCCAGUUUAUAUCUUCUAUUAUACAUCUAGUUAAUAUUUUUAACUGAACA